GUACAACUAGAGAUUGGUGACCACAAAAGGGGAGAGUCGGGUGAGAGUCAUCAGGUAGGUAACCAAUUAGAGACUGGUGACCACACAUGGGGAGAGUCAGGUGGGAUAGGGUGAUCAGGUAGGUGUACAACUAGAGAGUGACAACCAUAUAAGGGGAAAUUUAAGUGGGACAGAGUCAUCAGGUAGGUAACCAACUAGAGACUGGUGACCACAUAAGGGGGGAGUCUGGUGGGAUAGGGUCAUCAGGUAGGUAACCAACUAUAGACUGGCGACCACAUAAGGGGUGAUUCGGUGGGAUAGGGUCAUCUGGUAGGUAACCAACUAGUGACUGGUGAUCACAUAAGGGGGGAGUCGGGGGGGAUAGGGUCAUCAGGUAGGUAACCAACUAUAGACUGGCGCCCACAUAAGGGGUGAUUCGGUGGGAUAGGGUCAUCAGGGAGGUAACCAACUAGAGACUGGUGAUCACAUAAGGGGUGAUUCGGUGGGAUAGGGUCAUCAGGGAGGUAACCAACUAGAGACUGGUGAUCACAUAAGGGGUGAUUCGGUGGGAUAGGGUCAUCAGGCAGGUAACCAACUAGAGACUGGCGACCACAUAAGGGGGGAGUCGGCUGAGAUAGCGUCAUCAGGCAGGUAACCAACUAGAGACUGGCGACCACAUAAGGGGAGAGUCUGGUGGGAUAGGGUCAUCAGGCAGGUAACCAACUAGAGACUGGCGACCACAUAAGGGGGGAGUCGGCUGAGAUAGGGUCAUCAGGCAGGUAACCAACUAGAGACUGGCGACCACAUAAGGGGAGUUUAGGGUGGGACACAGUCAUCAGUUAGGUCAGGGCUUUUUCUAGGGUCUCUCAGGGGCCAAUAUACGGCCCCAUUCCCAAUGAGAUUUAGGCUUCAUUUUUCCCAAUUUCAAGAUUUUUUUCCAAAGUCUGGUGAUAUUACACAUUUGGACCUAAAAACAUGUUUUAUGACCAAAAUAAAAAUUUCAGAACAAAAAAUACAAUGUACACGUUAUCGUUGGUUGUUGAUGGACGACAGGAAAAAUGUACUCUUUUGGUAUGAAAACACAAAGCGUCUUCUUGAUCUACAUACACAAAGUCACCGGAGAGUUUGAAAGUAGAGUAUUUCAGUAAGCGCCUUUACCAAGCAUCUAAUUGGCCUUGUGUUGUUGAUCAGUUGAUGCGUUCGAUAAUGUUUGAAGCUGUUGGUCAUGUGCUCCCAUAAUGCCAAGUAUUAUGUGAAAUCAAUAAGAAAAAGCGAUGCAAGCCAAUGCAGAAAACGCUUUCUUCAUAAAGUCGGGUACUUUAGAUCCUGUGGAAUCGGAACCGGAUGUUGCAGUUCAAAAUGACCCGCGUCAGACGGCAGGCCCAUCAGGUGCUGACAAUCCCUCAGGCCCCAAAUCUCCUGAACGGACACCUAGUUAUGAUCCUGCUAGCGCAUGUGAAUCAAGUGAUUCAGAUGAUGGUGAGUCGUUGUCGGAUUGCAUAAAAGUCGACAGACGGACUUUUGAUUCCAAUCGGUAUGAGUUUAAUCACCAAUGGCUAUACUGGAGUGCUUAUAUGAAUGGAUAUGGUGAGUCGUUGUCGGAUUGCAUAAAAGUUGACAGGCAGACUUUUGAUUCCAAUCGGUAUGUGUUUAAUCACCAAUGGCUAUACUGGAGUGCUUAUAAAAAUGGAUAAAUUUGCAAAUUUUGUGUGAUGUUUUCUACAGAUAGCCCGAAAUGGAUACUGGAGUCCAACUCGGAAGUCACCCAACAAGGAAGCUUGUUAAACACGAGUCAAGUGAAAGUCACAAGAAAGCUUGUGAGAAAUUUGCAGAAUGUCACUCUAAAGUAAUCAAACCUAUCAGUAAUUGAGCAGCUUGUGUCGAAAGACAGUAAAGAGAGAGAAAUAUUAAAAAAAGUGUUCAGAACUGCGUAUUUUAUUGCAAGAAAGCGAUGGGCCGAAACAAAUUUUGAGGAUUUUGCUAAAUUUGUCGCUUCCCUUGGUGUUGAGGACAAACAGCAUCAUCCUCAAUUUGCACCCACAAAUGCAACAUACCUAUCUGAUACCUCAGUUGUAGAGUUUAUUGACAUAAUUGGUGAAUAUAUCGAAAACCAGGGACUGUUGUCAAUUAGAAAUGCCGACUACUACACAAUACUUGCUGAUGAACAAAACAGGGAACAACUCAGCAUUUUUGGAAAAUGGAUUUGUAGGGAAGGUCAAACUAUACCACCAGUUGAUCAUGUCCUAGGAUUAAUUAAUGUUGGAAAAACAGACAGCGAGUCUUUAUUACAGGCCAUACAGCAGUUUCUUUUAGCCAAGAACUUGGAUGUGUUGAGGUGCAGAUUUGUUGGCUUUGACGGCACAAACACUAUGAGUGGUGAAACCUCAGGUUUACAAAGAAGAAUGAGGAAUCUUUCUCCAAUGUUGUUGUACAUGAAUUGCCGAAGCCAUCGCUUGGCGUUAUGUCUGAAACAUUUAAUGAAAAUGUAUCCAGUCUUGGUUGAAACAUCUUCGCUAGCCAAGUGUUCGCUUCGUAUACACUCCACUUACCCUUGGCGGAUAUAGCUGUGUUUUCAUAAUUCCCUCCACUGCCACCUAGCGGAUAUACAGAGUUAUCGUUCUUCUCCCAAUAAACUUUUAACCAAUCAGAAUGACCGUUACAUACACAAGCCAUCGGCAUGUUGACAAAAGCAUGUGUAUGUGGAGACGGAGUAUAAAUGACAGAGCAAUAUAGAAACAAUCCAAAGGCAGCACUCAUAUUUUCCCAGGUCAUCAUUUACAUGUGGCACGAGGUCAAGGAUUUCCACCAACUGAUUUAAAACUCCAGAAGUUUCCCCAAAGAUCGUGCGUCUACUUUUUGGGAGCAAAAUACUCUGACAUAAACGACAACGUGCUUCCGUACAGGGCGUCGCCAUUACUGUUUUCCAUCGUCAACAGCGCUAUAGUUAAGACGCAAUUUCAUUGGAUGCGAGCGAUUGGCACCGCACGAAAAUUUGAAGGCUCAGUAAACACGUCUAUAUCCGCCAAGGGUAAGUGGAUUGUAUACGAAGCGAACACUUGGCUAGCGAAGAGGUGGUUGAAACUGAUGAGGUACUUUUGGCGAUAUGGAAACUUUUUCAUUUUUCCCCAAGGAGGUUUACUGUCUUUAAACAUGUCCAAGAAGUGUAUGGAUGUCAGCCAUUGAAUGUGAUCAGGGCUGCAACAAGGUGCUUGUUUCGUGGCCGGGCAUGUGUCUGCUUCAUAGACAGAUAUGAAGCAAUACUCGAUACGCUCGACACCUUUUACCAAGUACGGAAGGAGCCAGAGGUAUUUGUGCUUCGUGCUAGUAUCACAAACAGAGGUGUGGUUGCUAUGAUUCUGUUAUUGUCUUAUGCCUUAAUACUUGCAAGGUCCAAAGAUUUGCUUUGUGGACAUUUAGAGUAAAGUGAAAGCAACCACCAAUGAACUUGAAACCCUGAUUGGUAUUCUUCAGGCCCCUGGUUACCACAACCUGGUAUUCUUCAGGCCCCUGGUUACCAGAACCUGGACAUAUAUUUCGCCAAAGUUGACAGCCUGUUUCAGGAAAUAGUUGACGGAACGGAUCUCCAAAUGAGAAGGCGCAGAGACUUCCAACGCCACAAUAUAUCACCAGCUGUGUGUUUGGAAACCGUUGGUGUCCCUCUUAUCAAUAGCCGAAUUGGUGAGUUGACUGGCGCCUUUGUCGGUCAUCCUGUAUUCGCAGCAUUUAAAGCUCUGGAUCCGAGAUGCCUACCACAGCAGUUAGAUGCUCUUCCAGACUAUGGACAGAUAUUCAGACCCUUGGGAAUCACUAUGCAACCCCAAAGGAAAACCAUAUCAAAGGCCAUGUAACAAGGUGUGGGCCAGACAUUGACCCUUUGGAUGUGCUGAAAACAGAACACACGGGUUCCAAACACCAGAUGUAUAUGCUGAGUUUACAGGUCUCGGCAUGCAGCAGACCAUUCCAACUUGUGACUUCAGGCAGACUGGAGAGUGCCUUACUCCCCAAGACCUCCUUUUAUCCCCCGGGAGGAAUGAUGUUAUGGGGAACUGUUUUCCAAGAGCAUCCUCCCUACUAGAACUGAUGAACAUUGUACUAACAUCAACAGCCUCUGUGGAAAGAGGCUUCAGUAUGAUGAAAGGACUGUGUACUCCUAUUCAGAGCUGUUUAGCACAGGGACAUUUGUCCAGUCUGAUGCUAAUUUGUGUUGAGGGUCCUUCUGACUUGACUGAUGAGGCCCUAGACUCUCUGGUCAAUAAGUUCAGGAACAAAAAAUCUAGAAUCCUGCCUUUGUAUUCAAAUAUAGGAAAUAAAGAAAAUUUGAAUGAAAAUUUUGUCAAUAUAUUGUCUUUU